GUUGUUGUCAGUCUAUGUUCGUUGCUUUUAUUUUUCCCUUAACUACAAUAUUUUGCAUCAAUGAAAGAGGAUCCUUAAAUUCAGUCUGUCCAUCAAUUAGGAAGAUUCAAUAACGCUGAUGAGAGUCUUUAUAAUUUUCGUAGAGAAACUGAAAAGUAGAUUGACAAGAGGAACGGUUGAGGAUAAUAGGAAGAAUGUAUAACAGAGGAAUAUUGGACGAAGCCCAUCAUGAUUUGAAAAUCUGGCUAUCAUUCUAGCUCUUAUGUACAUUUUACAAUGGAAAGAGAUCCCAUCAUGGCUUGAAGAUUUGGCUGAACUCCAGAACUGAAGACUGCAAUGUGUUUCUGUUUUGUUUGUCCUGUAACUGGUUC
rnacentral:lncRNA from 1 species